rnacentral:miRNA from 2 species
AGGCAGUGUAUUGUUAGUUAGC